AACGCUGGCGGCAGGCUUAACACAUGCAAGUCGAGCGGGCGUAGCAAUACGUCAGCGGCAGACGGGUGAGUAACGCGUGGGAACAUACCUUUUGGUUCGGAACAACACAGGGAAACUUGUGCUAAUAUCGGAUAAGCCCUUACGGGGAAAGAUUUAUCGCCGAAAGAUUGGCCCGCGUCUGAUUAGCUAGUUGGUGAGGUAACGGCUCACCAAGGCGACGAUCAGUAGCUGGUCUGAGAGGAUGAUCAGCCACAUUGGGACUGAGACACGGCCCAAACUCCUACGGGAGGCAGCAGUGGGGAAUAUUGGACAAUGGGCGCAAGCCUGAUCCAGCCAUGCCGCGUGAGUGAUGAAGGCCCUAGGGUUGUAAAGCUCUUUUGUGCGGGAAGAUAAUGACGGUACCGCAAGAAUAAGCCCCGGCUAACUUCGUGCCAGCAGCCGCGGUAAUACGAAGGGGGCUAGCGUUGCUCGGAAUCACUGGGCGUAAAGGGUGCGUAGGCGGGUCUUUAAGUCAGGGGUGAAAUCCUGGAGCUCAACUCCAGAACUGCCUUUGAUACUGAGGAUCUUGAGUUCGGGAGAGGUGAGUGGAGCUGCGAGUGUAGAGGUGAAAUUCGUAGAUAUUCGCAAGAACACCAGUGGCGAAGGCGGCUCACUGGCCCGAUACUGACGCUGAGGC
rnacentral:rRNA from 1 species